rnacentral:rRNA from 1 species
CAGCAGCCGCGGUAAUACGUAGGUGGCAAGCGUUGUCCGGAAUUAUUUGGCGUAAAGGGCUCGCAGGCGGUUUCUUAAGUCUGAUGUGAAAGCCCCCGGCUCAACCGGGGAGGGUCAUUGGAAACUGGGAAACUUGAGUGCAGAAGAGGAGAGUGGAAUUCCACGUGUAGCGGUGAAAUGCGUAGAGAUGUGGAGGAACACCAGUGGCGAAGGCGACUCUCUGGUCUGUAACUGACGCUGAGGAGCGAAAGCGUGGGGAGCGAACAGGAUUAGAUACCCCAGUAGUCCCUGUCUCUUAUAC